UACGAAGGGGGCUAGCGUUGUUCGGAUUUACUGGGCGUAAAGCGCACGUAGGCGGAUCGUUAAGUCGGGGGGUGAAAUCCUGGAGCUCAACUCCAGAACUGCCUUCGAUACUGGCGCUCUUGAGUCCGGAAGAGGUGAGUGGAACUCCUAGUGUAGAGGUGGAAUUCGUAGAUAUUAGGAAGAACACCAGUGGCGAAGGCGGCUCUCUGGGACGGUACUGACGCUGAGACGCGAAAGCGUGGGGAGCGAAACAGG
rnacentral:rRNA from 1 species